rnacentral:rRNA from 1 species
UACCCGUCUUGAUACACGGACCAAGGAGUUUAACAUGCGCGCGAGUCGUUGGGUCGGACACGCUCCGCUAAACCCAUAGGCGCAAUGAAAGUGAAGGUUUCCCUUGCGGGACCGAGGGAGGACGGAGCCGCCUUGCCGCGGCUCCCGCACUCCCGGGGCGUCUGAUUCCUCUUUUUGAGGGAAGGCGCACCCAGAGCGCACACGUUGGGACCCGAAAGAUGGUGAACUAU